CCCUUCGGUCCGGAGUCAGUGGGUUAUCUGGUCAUCCCUCCGGGGAAUUUCCCAUCGGCACACCCUUGACCGUUGU
rfam:Ancylostoma ceylanicum strain HY135 Acey_s0020_scaf, whole genome shotgun sequence.